rnacentral:rRNA from 1 species
GAUGAACGCUGGCGGCGUGCUUAACACAUGCAAGUCGAACGGUGAACGAGGGAGCUUGCUCCCUCCGGAUCAGUGGCGAACGGGUGAGUAACACGUGAGCAAUCUGCCCUGGACUCUGGGAUAAGCGUUGGAAACGACGUCUAAUACCGGAUACGAGGCGUGGGGGCAUCCCCAACGCCUGGAAAGAACUUCGGUCCAGGAUGAGCUCGCGGCCUAUCAGCUAGUUGGUGAGGUAACGGCUCACCAAGGCGACGACGGGUAGCCGGCCUGAGAGGGUGACCGGCCACACGGGGACUGAGACACCGCCCAGACUCCUACGGGAGGCAGCAGUGGGGAAUAUUGCACAAUGGGCGCAAGCCUGAUGCGGCAACGCCGCGUGAGGGACGACGGCCUUCGGGUUGUAAACCUCUUUUAGCAGGGAAGAAGCGAAAGUGACGGUACCUGCAGAAAAAGCACCGGCUAACUACGUGCCAGCCGCCGCGGUAAUAC